GCAACACGUAGAAUAAAUGCUUUUACAUUUAUAAUUAGAUUGACUUGCAAAAAUUUCAUACGAUGAGUCAUGAAAUCAUCUGCCUGUCCACAGCUAACAGGAUGAUAUAGUUACUAUAUGUUUUUUUUUAAACUGUCCUCGAGCUAAAGAAAAACAAAAAAUAGAGCCUAAAAAAAAGCUCCUCUUUCCUGUAUGGCUACAUGAACACAGUGGGACACUGGGAGGCAGGAAGGCUGCUUUUACUGGCACUGCCCUCACAACUGACAAACACUCAUGAAGCUCGGAUCCUCCAUGAUGCUUUAACUAAGCUAAACUAAAUAUUUGGCGAUGGCUAUGUUGCUGGGUAAUGAACAGCCAGACAAAAGCAGCAUAGAUUUUCUACACAGCGGGCUUUACAAAUAACAGAUAUGUUGUAGCCCGAAAUCCAGCAGCGUUUUUCUUCUGUAGUAUAUUUGCUCUAUUGAUUGCUGAUAUGUUAUCCUUCACUGUAUAACUUGACUUUAAAUUUACAAGGCCAUAAAAGCCGACCCUAUUCAACCUCAAACGGGCUCACUGAUAUCAAGAUUAAAAUGAAAGAAGUUAUCCUCUUAAUACAGCAAGCAUUAAUGGAAAGUAAAGGUCUUUGCUUUUUCUGUCGCAAUAACGGUUCAAACUGUUAACUGUUAUUUCAACUGCUGUUCUGUCUGCAUCUUUGGUUAAAAUGUGGGAUGAAAAUGCAGUGCCGUCACAUAUAAAGUGCAACACCAGGUCAGAUGUAGCCCGAAUUUCAUAAACCAGAGCGAGAUGAGGCAGUCAGAGUCAAAAUUACAAGUACAAGCUACAUUUAGACCAAACAUUUGAUUUUAUUUGGGGAGUUAUUCCAUGUUUGUCUCUAUAUUUACUGUAGUAAGUUAAAAUUGGAUAUUUUUAAAGGGAUGGUGCCAAAAACUAGCACUAGCACACUGCCAGAGAAAUAUUUGAAAUACAGUACAAAUAAAAACCCUCAUAGCUAGCCUAGACAUAUACCUGCAAUUAGUUACCAUGGUAACUCUGGGCCUUUUGUGAAAGGCCUUGAAUUUAAACCACUAAAGCCCCGCCCCUUUGAUUUGAUCCUUCAUGCUAAUCUGCUGUUGCUAACGUAGCAUUUCAUUGAGAAGUUAAUCCACCAGCAAUAUGACUAUGUUGCUGGAGGCCUGUUCUGUGGGAGAACUGGUUUGAUAUUCUGGCUGUAUCACCAGUGGAGUUUGAACGACACCUGGAGGGUUUUUUUUAGGCUCUCUGUGCCUCCAUGUGAGUUAAACAAGAUCAUUCAAUGAGCUUAUGCGAAUGUGAGGUGUCUGUCAUCAGUCUGUCCUUCCAGAAUUCACAAGAAUCACCACUCCUCAAGAGCAAUGGAAAUUAAACUGCAAAUUAACUGCGAUAGAUCAUGAACUGGAUGAGCUAAUACAUCCCUGACGUUCUGGUCAGCUCCUCUUAGCCUGCUAACAGUAAUGAGAACACACCCCAUCCAGGAUGAGCAGCUAAACGAAUGCUUACCAGAUGAAGUUAAAGAAUAGAUGGCAGGUUUUUUGCACCCUUAAGUAUUAUUCUUAAUAUUUAAAGGCAUGCACUGGGACCACAUCACCAGUGUGAUUUGCUUGAAAAGUGAAUUUGCUGCAUUCCCAGUUUGAUGCCCUUUUAAAGAGAAAUGUCCUGUUGGUGCCAAGAGAAAGAAGAAAUAUCUGCCAGGCCAGUAAACCGCUACACAUUCGCCAUGUGUCUGAACCAAGCUAGAUCAAGGAGCAGAUUAGAGUUUCUCUGCACUUUGUGUCUGUGUGUGUGUACGGUGUAUAAAUAGCACAUGUGGCAGCACUUACCACAGCCUUUUUAUUUAAGGCAUUUCCCCUCCCUGCCUUUCUCACCACGCUCUGGUUGAUGGGACUGCAGCAGAAGCCAGGAGAUGAGUUCCCAGGCCUUCAUCUUGACAAAUGUCUCUUUUUUUUUUAUUUAUUCGACAUGUCAAAAAUGAUCUGAGACUUCAUCUUCAGACCACCUGCCUUCAGAAUAAAGCGGUUUUCCAACAUUUCCUUUCUUUCUUUGAGUCAAAGUGCUGCUGCUGCUGCUGCUUCCACUGACAUGCAUGAGUAGGAUUGCCCCAUAUGGUGCAGACCCGUGGAACCAGCCAAACCCACAGUACAGUAAACACUCGCUGAAACUUACCAUCAGCUACAGACUUCACAACUAUGACUGAAUAGGUCCUAACAUGCCAUUUUAAACUCCUGAGGCCAGCAACAGUGAAUGCAGGAGGCCUUGCGUUUGUUCUUUUUGCAUGUUGGCACAGCAUGAUGUACGGUAACAGUGC